rnacentral:rRNA from 1 species
GACGAACGCUGGCGGCGUGCUUAACACAUGCAAGUCGAACGGAAAGGCCUGCUUUUCCUUGUGGAUUGCGGGUACUCGAGUGGCGAACGGGUGAGUAACACGUGAGUGUUUUGCCCCCAACUUGGGUCUAAGCCUGGGAAACUGGGCCUAAUUCUCGAUAGGACUGCAGGGUGCUGCCUGUGGUGGAAAACGAUCUUCUAGUGGUUGGGGAUGAGCUCGCGGCCUAUCAGCUUGUUGGUGGGGUAAUGGCCGACCAAGGCGGGGACGGGUAGCCGGAGUGAGAGGGGGGACGGCGGCAUUGGGACAGGGAUACGGCCCCGACUGGUGGGGGAAGCAGGGGUGGGGACGAAAGGACCGUAAGCGGGAGGGAGAUGCGGCGAGGGCGCGAGGAGGAUGUCGGCAUUCGGAUUGUAAGCUCCUUGCGACGGCGAGGAAGCCACGUGGCUAGAAAGGUGGUGACGGUAGUGGUAGAAGAAGCACCGGCUAACUACGUG